UAUGUUUGAGACAAUUUUAUUCUACUUCUUCAAUUUAUUUUUAUGCAAGAAAUUAUUCUGUCCAGCAUAUUAUCUGUCCAAUUCCACACUAUAAUGAAAAAAUAGCAAAUCUUAAUAACUCUAACUUUGAAUAUGUUAUUGUAUAUAUUAUAUUUGAGUAGAUUUUAAUAUUUUAUUUUAUAGAUGGAAAUUGUAAACGGAAAAAAAGAGGGAACUAUUAAAUAUAUAUAUGAAGGUUAUACAUACCAUUUAGAUAAGCGUAAUAAUGUUUUACGUUGUGCUAAUCGAAAAUUGACCAAAUGCACAGCUUGUUUAAUCAAGAAUAAUGAUAAUUUUAUUAUCAAACAUUCACAUAAUCAUUAUCAUAAUCCUCAGCUUAUUGAUAUUAUCAAAUUAAAAGAAGAUAUGAAAGAUAUGUCAAAAGAAACUGAUUUGAAACCGAAAGAAAUAUUUGACUUUGUUUGUCGAAGUAAUCCACUUGUGGGUUCAUGCAUCACAUAUUCAUCUAUGAGAACAAUUCUGCAUCGAAUAAGAAAUAGCUGUUUUCCUCCUAUACCGAAUUCUAUGGAGGAAUUAAAAGAUAGUUUGCUAAAUUAUGAGGCAGUAAAAGAAAUAUAUAAAGGAUAUGCCAUAUCUACUAAUAACGAAAUAGCUAUUAUUUUUAGUACUGAUAUUUUAUUAGUUGCAUUAGCAGCAUCUACAGAGAUAUAUGUGGAUGGAACAUUUUCUGCUGUUCCACGAUUUCCACAUGUUGCACAAAUGUAUACUAUACAUAUUCGAUACAUGGAAACAUAUAUGUUUUAUGCGAAAAACGUACUAAAUCAAUGUAUAAUGCUAUUUGGAAGAAGAUUAAAGAAUUAGCUCCUGAUUUUCAAAAAAAUCUACAUUUUAUUAUGUCAGAUUAAAAAAGCAGCAGCAAUCUCAUCAAUGAAUGAAAAUUUUCCUCAAUCGAAAAUUCAUGGCUGUUGGUUUCAUUUCAACCAGGCUAUUCUGCGC